rnacentral:rRNA from 1 species
GGGGAUCGAAAGACCUUAUGCUUUAGGAGCGGCCGAUGUCUGAUUAGCUAGUUGGUAGGGUAAUGGCUUACCAAGGCGACGAUCAGUAGUUGGUCUGAGAGGAGACCAGCCACACUGGGACUGAGACACGGCCCAGACUCCUACGGGAGGCAGCAGUGGGGAAUUUUGGACAAUGGGCGCAAGCCUGAUCCAGCAAUGCCGCGUGAGUGAAGAAGGCCUUCGGGUUGUAAAGCUCUUUCAGUUGAGAAGAAAAAGUCGUGACUAAUAAUCAUGAUUCAUGACGGUAUCAACAGAAGAAGCACCGGCUAACUACGUGCCAGCAGCCGCGGUAAUACGUAGGGUGCAAGCGUUAAUCGGAAUUACUGGGCGUAAAGGGUGCGCANGCGGUUCUGUAAGUCAGAUGUGAAAUCCCCGGGCUUAACCUGGGAACUGCGUUUGAAA